AGUGACGGCGUACCUUUUGUAUAAUGGGUCAUCGACUUGGUCUAUCUAGCAAGCUUAAGCCGAUAGGUGUAGGCGCAGCGAAAGCGAGUCUUAAUAGGGCGUCGAGUUAGAUGGAUCAGACCCGAAACCGAGUGAUCUAGGCAUGACCAGGAUGAAGGUAAGGUAACACUUACUGGAGGUCCGAACCCACACCUGUUGAAAAAGGUCGGGAUGAGUUGUGCCUAGGGGUGAAAGGCCAAUCAAACUCGGAGAUAGCUGGUUCUCCGCGAAAUCUAUUUAGGUAGAGCGUCAUCCGAAUACCCCGGGGGGUAGAGCACUGGAUGGGUAAUGGGGCCCCACAGGCUUACUGAUCCUAACCAAACUCCGAAUACCCGGGAGUACUAGAUGGCAGACACACUGCGGAUGCUAACGUCCGUAGUGGAGAGGGAAACAACCCUGACCUACAGCUAAGGCCCCCAAUUCAUGGCUAAGUGGGAAAGCAGGUGGGACGACCAAAACAACCAGGAGGUUGGCUUAGAAGCAGCCAUCCUUUAAAGAUAGCGUAACAGCUCACUGGUCUAAUCAAGUUGUCCUGCGGCGAAGAUGUAACGGGGCUCAAGCCAUGAGCCGAAGCUUAGGAUGCCGUAAGGCAUGGUAGCGGAGCGUAGUGUGAUAUUGGACUUAUCUUUACUAUCGCAUGUCGGUGACAGGGCGCGGUCAAACGUGCUCAAGUGGCCGAUAGGCGGUAGCACAAGAUAAAGUCUAUUCUGUGAAGCCGGCGCGUGAGCGAUCCGGUGGAGAGAUCACUAGUGAGAAUGAUGACAUGAGUAGCGACAAAGAGUGUGAGAGACACUCUCGCCGAAAGUCCAAGGGUUCCUGCUUAAAGCUAAUCUGAGCAGGGUAAGCCGGCCCCUAAGGCGAGGCCGAAAGGCGUAGUCGAUGGGAACCAGGUUAAUAUUCCUGGGCCAGGAGGAUGUGACGGAUUGUGGCGGCGUGCGUGCCUUAUCGGAUUGGCGCGUAUCCAAGACAGUCCCUGGAAAUAGCCCUCCAUGAGACCGUACCCUAAACCGACACAGGUGGACUGGUAGAGAAUACCAAGGCGCUUGAGAGAACGAUGUUGAAGGAACUCGGCAAAAUACCUCCGUAAGUUCGCGAGAAGGAGGCCCGGUGUCUGAUCACCGGGGGCACAAACCAGGGGGUGGCGACUGUUUAUUAAAAACACAGGGCUCUGCGAAGUCGCAAGACGACGUAUAGGGUCUGACGCCUGCCCGGUGCCUGAAGGUUAAAAGGAGGGGUGCAAGCUCUGAAUUGAAGCCCAGGUAAACGGCGGCCGUAACUAUAACGGUCCUAAGGUAGCGAAAUUCCUUGUCGGGUAAGUUCCGACCUGCACGAAUGGCGUAACGACUUCCCCGCUGUCUCCAACAUCGACUCAGCGAAAUUGAAUUGCCUGUCAAGAUGCAGGCUUCCCGCGGUUAGACGGAAAGACCCCGUGCACCUUCACUACAGCUUCGCACUGGCAUCAGGCACAACAUGUGCAGGAUAGGUGGUAGGCUUCGAACCAGGGACGCCAGUUCCUGGGGAGCCAUCCUUGAGAUACCACCCUUGUUCUGCUUGAUGUCUAACCGCGGCCCGUUAUCCGGGUCCGGGACCCUGCGUGGUGGGUAGUUUGACUGGGGCGGUCGCCUCCUAAAGCGUAACGGAGGCGCGCGAAGGUUGGCUCAGAGCGGUCGGAAAUCGCUCGUUGAGUGCAAUGGCAGAAGCCAGCCUGACUGCAAGACUGACAAGUCGAGCAGAGUCGAAAGACGGCCAUAGUGAUCCGGUGGUCCCAAGUGGGAGGGCCAUCGCUCAACGGAUAAAAGGUACGCCGGGGAUAACAGGCUGAUACUGCCCAAGAGUCCAUAUCGACGGCAGUGUUUGGCACCUCGAUGUCGGCUCAUCUCAUCCUGGGGCUGGAGCAGGUCCCAAGGGUAUGGCUGUUCGCCAUUUAAAGAGGUACGUGAGCUGGGUUUAGAACGUCGUGAGACAGUUCGGUCCCUAUCUGCCGUGGGUGUAGGAUACUUGAGAGGAGUUGCCCCUAGUACGAGAGGACCGGGGUGAACGAUCCACUGGUGGACCUGUUGUUGCGCCAGCAGCAGUGCAGGGUAGCUAUGAUCGGACAGGAUAACCGCUGAAGGCAUCUAAGCGGGAAGCCCCCCUCAAAACAAGGUAUCCCUGAGGACCGUGGAAGACCACCACGUCGAUAGGCCAGAGGUGUAAGCACAGCAAUGUGUUCAGCUGACUGGUACUAAUGGUCCGAUAGGCUUGAUUUG
rnacentral:rRNA from 1 species